CGUUUAUAUAGGUUUAUUUCAUUUGUUGCAGGCAGUGAUGUAUUCAACAAAUGAUAACAACUAAUAACAGACAGUUUUAGAGCAUCGCAAGCUACAAAUGAAGAGCCCAAAGAACUGAAAUCAAUGUAUAGGCUACAACUAGCUGAAGUUUGCUGUGCUUUAUCCUAACAUUACACAAAGAAUGCCUGCAAUCAUUCAGUCAGGGACGACUGCACAAAACGUGCACUGUAAAGUAAUAAAAACAUCAAUCAGAAAAUCUCGAAAACCAAAAAUCUGGUAACACCGGCAAGUGUUUUGACUGAACAGCAGGAGGAGAAACAGGAAGUACAGAGGAACACAGCUCAUAAGCACAAGGUACACAAAAGAGCAGUCUCUCGCUUGAAGCCGCAGACUAUGGAGGAAAAUACAACACAAGAUGAAAUUAACCAGGAAGAGAAAGACAGAUCGGAAAGCAGUGAAGAAGGGCAGACAGAUCUUAAGGAAAGAGAGUUGAGACUGGUGCUGCUCGGCUCAGAGGGUGCUGGGAAAAGCAGUGCGGUCAAUGCCAUCCUGGGCGGCUUGACAUCUGAGUCUGACUGUACAGGCCCUGAGACACCAGCCACCAACUGCCAGAAGAGACGCGUGGCGCUGGCAGGACGACAGGUGCGUUCAUGUCUCACUUAAAGCUCACUUUCAGCUACCUGAUCAUUCAGUUCUGC
rnacentral:lncRNA from 1 species